UUUUUCAUUUUGGCGCACAAUUUUUGGCCACUCACCACCAAAAACCAAAACGCUUAUCGCUAUCUCUUUUUCACUUCCACAACUCACCCCUUUCCACCGAUUCUUCUUCAUCUUCAUCGUCAUCUUCCGGUAGUCUUAAGCCGAACAAGAAGAAGCUCGAAAGAAACACCAUCGACUCUUCUUCGUCAGCCAUCGAUUCUCCACCGUUUCAUCGGAAAGAAAGAACGAACCCAACAACGCACUCUUCUCCAUUCUUCUUUAUUUUCAGCUUUUUUCGAUUACUUAUUUGUCCUGUUUGAAUCGGAAGUUUAG